GGGGAUGUGGUCUAGUGGUAUGACGUUUCCUUAGCAUCAUGCGUUCCACCGCAUGGAAAAGGUUCUGGGUUCGAUUCCCAGCUUCUCCA
rfam:Cladophialophora yegresii CBS 114405 aczIN-supercont1.2, whole genome shotgun sequence.